rnacentral:rRNA from 1 species
AUUGAACGCUGGCGGCAGGCCUAACACAUGCAAGUCGAGCGGCAGCGGGAAAGUAGCUUGCUACUUUUGCCGGCGAGCGGCGGACGGGUGAGUAAUGCCUGGGAAAUUGCCCAGUCGAGGGGGAUAACAGUUGGAAACGACUGCUAAUACCGCAUACGCCCUACGGGGGAAAGCAGGGGACCUUCGGGCCUUGCGCGAUUGGAUAUGCCCAGGUGGGAUUAGCUAGGUGGUGAGGUAAGGGCUCACCAAGGCGACGAUCCCUAGCUGGUAUGAGAGGAUGAUCAGCCACACUGGAACUGAGACACGGUGCAGACUCCUACGGGAGGCAGCAGUGGGGAAUAUUGCACAAUGGGGGAAACCCUGAUGCAGCCAUGCCGCGUGUGUGAAGAAGGCCUUCGGGUUGUAAAGCACUUUCAGCGAGGAGGAAAGGUUGAUGCCUAAUACGUAUCAACUGUGACGUUACUCGCAGAAGAAGCACCGGCUAACUCCGUGCCAGCCGCCGCCGUAAAAC